rnacentral:rRNA from 1 species
GCUUAAAGGGGCCGUAGCUUGAUAAUAGGGUCCCUUGAGAAAUCCGCCGGCUUAACUGGCGGGCGUUCAGGGGAAACUUGUUUUCUAGGGACCGGGAGAGGUGAGGGGUACUGCCGGGGUAGGAGUGAAAUCCUGUAAUCCCGGUGGGACCACCUAUGGCGAAGGCAUCUCACCAGAACGGGUCCGACAGUGAGGGACGAAAGCUGGGGGAGCAAACCGGAUUAGAUACCCGGGUAGUCCCAGCUGUAAACUAUGUGCGUUAGGUGUGUCAGUGACCACGUGUCACUGAGGUGCCGAAGGGAAACCGUGAAACGCACCGCCUGGGGAGUACGGUCGCAAGGCUGAAACUUAAAGGAAUUGGCGGGGGAGCACCACAACGGGUGGAGCCUGCGGUUUAAUCGGACUCAACGCCGGGAAUCUCACCGGAUAAGACAGCUGAAUGAUAGUCGGGAUGAAGACUCUACUUGACUAGCAGAGAGGAGGUGCAUGGCCGUCGUCAGUUCGUACUGUGAAGCAUCCUGUUUAGUCAGGCAACGAGCGAGACCCACGCGAGCAGUUGCCAGCUUGACCUUCGGGUUGAUGGGGACACUGCUCGGACCGCCUCUGCUAAAGGGGAGGAAGGACUGGGCAACGGUAGGUCAGCAUGCCCCGAAUUAUCCGGGCUACACGCGGGCUACAAUGGACAGGACAAUGAGUUUCGACACCGAGAGGUGAGGAUAAUCUUCUAACCCUGUCCCAAGUUCGGAUUGCGGGUUGUAACUCACCCGCAUGAAGCUGGAAUCCGUAGUAAUCGCGUUUCAACAUACCGCGGUGAAUAUGUCCCUGCUCCUUGCACUCACCGCC